rnacentral:rRNA from 1 species
GCCUACGGGGCGCAGCGGUGGGGAAUAUUGCACAAUGGGGGAAACCCUGAUGCAGCGACGCCGCGUGGAGGAAGAAGGUCUUCGGAUUGUAAACUCCUGUCCUUGGGGACGAUAAUGACGGUACCCAAGGAGGAAGCACCGGCUAACUACGUGCCAGCAGCCGCGGUAAUACGUAGGGGGCAAGCGUUAUCCGGAUUUACUGGGUGUAAAGGGAGCGUAGACGGCGGCGCAAGUCCGGAGUGAAAGCCCACGGCCCAACCGUGGGACUGCUCUGGAAACUGUGCGGCUUGAGUGCGGGAGGGGCG